rnacentral:rRNA from 1 species
GACGAACGCUGGCGGCGUGCCUAAUACAUGCAAGUAGAACGCUGAAGAGAGGAGCUUGCUCUUCUUGGAUGAGUUGCGAACGGGUGAGUAACGCGUAGGUAACCUGCCUUGUAGCGGGGGAUCACUAUUGGAAACGAUAGCUAAUACCGCAUAACAAUGGAUGACACAUGUCAUUUAUUUGAAAGGGGCAAUUGCUCCACUACAAGAUGGACCUGCGUUGUAUUAGCUAGUAGGUGAGGUAAUGGCUCACCUAGGCGACGAUACAUAGCCGACCUGAGAGGGUGAGCUGCCACGCUGGGACGGAGACACGGCCCAGACUCCUGAGGGAGGCAGCAGUAGGGAAUCUUCGGCAAAGGGGGCAACCCUGACCGAGCAACGCCGCGUGAGUGAAGAAGGUUUUCGGAUCGUAAAGCUCUGUUGUAAGUCAAGAACGGGUGUGAGAGUGGAAAGUUCACACUGUGACGGUAGCUGACCAGAAAGGGACGGCUAACUACGUG